GGCAAAAAUAUUGCUGACACAGUGAUUUACGCAUUAGGAUCACCUCCAGGUGCAGAGGUUUUCGAGCUUACACUUAUACCACAAAACGUAGUAUUAGGGACGCCAGUACCACAAUUAACGGAAUACCAAAAUCGUAAUAUGAUCAACAAAUAAAAUGGGAAUCUAUAGGAUUAUUGGAAUUAAGUGUCACAUCUUUAUAUUGAAAUAAAACGCAAACUAUGUGAGAUA